GGAGAGGUGGCAGAGCGGUUGAAUGCACUGGUCUUGAAAACCAGCGAACCUUUAUCGGUUCCGAGAGUUCGAAUCUCUCUCUCUCCGCCA
rnacentral:tRNA from 1 species